AAGGAGUUUAUCGUGUGCGCAAGUUUUUGGGUGUUAAAAACCUAAAGGCGAAAUGAAAGUAAAUGGCUCUUUAGAGUCUGAUGUGCGAUCUAGUAAAAAAGUGCAGCAUGGCCCCAUUCUAACUGUUUACAGUAGGGUGGAGGAAGAGCGUACGCGGUGAGACCCGAAAGAUGGUGAACUAUUCCUGAGCAGGACGAAGCCAGAGGAAACUCUGGUGGAAGUCCGAAGCGGUUCUGACGUGCAAAUCGAUCGUCU
rnacentral:rRNA from 1 species